rnacentral:rRNA from 1 species
AGAUUGAACGCUGGCGGCAGGCCUAACACAUGCAAGUCGAGCGGUAGAGAGGUACUUGCAUCUCUUGAGAGCGGCGGACGGGUGAGUAAUGCCUAGGAAUCUGCCUAGUGGUGGGGGAUAACGUUCGGAAACGGACGCUAAUACCGCAUACGCCCUUAGGGGGAAAGCAGGGAUCGCAAGACCUUGCACUAUUGGAGCGGCCGAUAUCGGAUUAGCUAGUUGGUGAGGUAAUGGCUCACCAAGGCUGCGAUCCGUAGCUGGUUUGAGAGGACGACCAGCCACACUGGGACUGAGACACGGCCCAGACUCCUACGGGAGCAGCAGGUGGGAAUUUUGGACAAUGGGGAAACCUGGAAUCCAGCCAGUCCCGCGUGUGCGAUGAAGGCCUUGGUUAGUAAGCUACGUUUGGCGAAGGAAAGAAACGGACGCGUA